AUGGUACUCCCUUCGUUCGGAAUUACUUCUCUCAAAAAUGGAUGCAUCUAGGCGUAUUUUAGUUAUAGAUACAUCCAUAUCUGAGACAAGUAAUUUCGAACGGAGGGAGUAGGAA
rfam:Triticum aestivum genome assembly, contig: Triticum_aestivum_CS42_TGACv1_scaffold_556216_7AL